GGCUCAGGAUGAACGCUGGCGGCGUGCCUAAUACAUGCAAGUCGAGCGAACAGAUGAGAAGCUUGCUUCUCUGAUGUUAGCGGCGGACGGGUGAGUAACACGUGGGUAACCUACCUAUAAGACUGGGAUAACUCCGGGAAACCGGGGCUAAUACCGGAUAAUAUUUUGAACCGCAUGGUUCAAUAGUGAAAGACGGUUUCGGCUGUCACUUAUAGAUGGACCCGCGCCGUAUUAGCUAGUUGGUAAGGUAACGGCUUACCAAGGCGACGAUACGUAGCCGACCUGAGAGGGUGAUCGGCCACACUGGAACUGAGACACGGUCCAGACUCCUACGGGAGGCAGCAGUAGGGAAUCUUCCGCAAUGGGCGAAAGCCUGACGGAGCAACGCCGCGUGAGUGAUGAAGGUCUUCGGAUCGUAAAACUCUGUUGUUAGGGAAGAACAAAUUUGUUAGUAACUGAACAAGUCUGACGGUACC
rnacentral:rRNA from 2 species